AGUAAUGUAAGCUAAUUUUAAGCUAUUGGGCUCAUGCCCCAAAAAUGGGGGCUAAAUCCCCCCCUUUACAU
rnacentral:tRNA from 1 species